rnacentral:rRNA from 1 species
AUAUCCAUUAUGGAAAAUUCAACAUUAAUAUUAUAAUAUUUAUUUAUAAAUAUUAUAAAAAUAGUGUGCAAUUUUUCCAUAUAAGGACAUUGUAAUCUGUUAAUGUAAUAAAUAUUUAUCAUAAGAUUCAAUAAAUAAAAGUUUAUUCAAAUUAGUUAUUUUCCGAUUUCUAACAUAGAAUAAAUUUAAUUGAAUUUGAUAAAUCAUUGACAGAUUUAUUUAUAUAUAGUGCUUAAAUUCUUAAUUGAAUUUUACAAUAAUUUAUAAAUGUAUUUUCAUUUAUUUAUUUAUUGUAUGCACUUAUAUGAUUAACAAUGCUAUAGAUUCAGGAUACCUUCGGGACCCGUCUUGAAACACGGACCAAGGAGUCUAACAUAUGUGCAAGUCAUUGGGUAUUUUUAAUAAAACCCAAAGGCAUAAUUAACUUAACUGUUUUUAAUAUGGGAUUAAUUUAUAUUUUAUUAUGAAAUAUUAAUUCAAUCCCGGGGCGUUCUAUAUAGUUAUGUAUAAUGAUAUUUAUAUUAUUUAUGCCUCUAACUAGAGCGUACCUUGAGCAUAUAUGCUGUGACC